UACGAAGGGGGCUAGCGUUGCUCGGAAUCACUGGGCGUAAAGCGCACGUAGGCGGAUUGCUAAGUCAGGGGUGAAAUCCUGGAGCUCAACUCCAGAACUGCCUUUGAUACUGGCGAUCUCGAGUCCGGGAGAGGUGAGUGGAACUGCGAGUGUAGAGGUGAAAUUCGUAGAUAUUCGCAAGAACACCAGUGGCGAAGGCGGCUCACUGGCCCGGUACUGACGCUGAGGUGCGAAAGCGAGGGGAGCAACUAGGAUUAAGAUGA
rnacentral:rRNA from 1 species